rnacentral:rRNA from 1 species
AAAGCGGAGGGAUCAUUA